UGGCGACCAUAGCGUUUUGGACCCACCUGAUUCCAUCCCGAACUCAGAAGUGAAACGAAACAGCGUCGAUGGUAGUGUGGGGUCUCCCCAAGAAAAAUCUAAAGGCAAAAAAA
rnacentral:rRNA from 1 species